UGGUGCCAUUACAGGCCCAAUGCUGGUCUGGAAACGAGUCUCAGAGUUUCCAGAGUGCGUCUGUGUGUCUCCUGAAGACAAUCAGACGUGACUCACCCCUUGGAUGUCUGGAAGACGACCUUAAAAAUGUCCCCAACCGCUAGCGCCUCGAUCCCGCGCCCUGGCAGCCAUUACGCAGCAGAGAGUUAAGUUGAGACACGUCACGCUGGAAACAAACAGAAAUAAUGAGCUGGCUCAUAGCAUCUGGUUAACCAAACUGUAAUUUCUUCCCCGAGAAGGACUCCUGUAUUGAGCAUUUGUUUACCAGAAAGUCACGCCGCAUGUGCAAGAUGAUAGAGCACGAGCAAAUCAGAAUCUCCCUGCGUGACUUGCAAUCGUGUGCACAUGCGAACAAGUGUGAAGGCAAAACGUUCCUCAGUGUUCGGGAAAAUGCCCGAAUGAUAGACAAAUGGCCGUUUCUCAUAAAUCUCAGAAACAUGGACCUCCGGAACCAGAACUGACACGAUUCUAUGGGUAAAAAUAAUUUUCUCAGAAAAAAAUCUUUCAAAAAAUUACACUGUGAAAAAGGUCAAUCCAUCUCACAACCACUUAUCCGGUCCAAUGUCUGUGGACAAUUAUCCAAAAUAUAAACUGAACAAAGUAAAAUAUGGGUAAAAUAUACGUAAUUCCAGAGUUCUUGGUUUGUACUGAUUUCCUUUCCUUGUCCUAUUACAGAUACUUUUUCAUUAAA